rnacentral:sRNA from 1 species
AACGCCUCAAACUUUUCUAACCAUAAAAGUAAUUAUACUGGUGAGAAAUCCUAGAAAUCUGAAGAGUGAGAUAAAGCCUUUAAAUGGUUGUCACACUUGAUUGUAGGCCAGGAGUGGUGGCUCACGCCUGUAAUCCCAGCUCUGGGAGGCCAAGGCCAGUGGAUUGCUUGAGCCCAGGAGUUUGAGACCAGCCUGGGCAACAUGGAAAAACCCUACCUCUACUAAAAAUACAAAAACAAAAAACACCUCACCUGGGUGUUGUGGUGCACGCCUGUAAUCUCAGCUACUCCAGUGGCUGAGGCAUGAGAAUCCCUUGAACCACGGAUGCAGAGGUUGCAGUGAACUGAGAUCGUGCCACUGCACUCCAUCCUGGGCAACAGAGAGACUCGGUCUCGAGGAAAAAUAAGGCAUUUUUCUAAUUUAAAUAAUAGUAUUCCAUUAUGUGU